rnacentral:rRNA from 1 species
GACGAACGCUGGCGGCGUGCCUAAUACAUGCAAGUCGAACGCAGUGGGGACGGGUGAGUAACACGUGGGUACCCUCCCCUCAGAGGGGAUAACACUUGGAAACAGGUGCUAAACCGAUACUGAUGGAUGAACCCGCGUGGCAUUAGCUAGUUGGUGAGGUAAAGGCUCACCAAGCCCACGAUGCAUAGCCGGCCUGAGAGGGUGAUCGGCAACACGGGGACUGAGACACGGCCCAGACUCCGACGGGAGGCAGCAGUAGGGAAUCUUCGGCAAUGGACGAAAGUCUGACCGAGCAACGCCGCGUGUGUGAAGAAGGUCUUCGGGUCGUAAAACUCUGUUGUUAGAGAAGCGGUAUCUAACCAGAAAGCCACGGCUAACUACGUGCCAGCAGCCGCGGUAAUUC